rnacentral:rRNA from 1 species
UACGUAGGGUGCAAGCGUUGUCCGGAAUUAUUGGGCGUAAAGAGCUCGUAGGCGGUUCGUCGCGUCGGCUGUGAAAACCCGAGGCUCAACCUCGGGCCUGCAGUCGAUACGGGCGGACUGGAGUUCGGCAGGGGAGACUGGAAUUCCUGGUGUAGCGGUGAAAUGCGCAGAUAUCAGGAGGAACACCAGUGGCGAAGGCGGUGCUCUGGGCCGGAACUGACGCUGAGGAGCGAAAGCGUGGGGAGCAAACAGG